rnacentral:lncRNA from 1 species
CUCAAACAGAAGAUUUUUACUGCAGCACAAUACCCACUGCAAAGCAGCUCCUUGUGGAAUUUUCCUCUUGCAGAUUAUCUGAAUAGGCUGAGCCAUCAGUGGAAAGAGAGGCUGAGCAUCUCAAAAACAGAACAGCUGGGAGUAUGGAGCCAAUGUGACACUCAGGGGAAGCCAGCUGCCAUGUUGUGAGGAUUCUCAAGCAGCCCUGUGGCGAUGUCUUUGUAGCGAGGAACUGAGGCCUCCUGCCAACAGCCAUGGGAGUGAGCCAUCUUGGAAGCAGAUCCCUCAGCUCCAGUGAGAGCUUCACGCGUCGGCAGCUCUUCCUGAAGACUACAUGUCUAUAACUUGACUACAAUCUUGUGAGAGACCCUGAGCCACAGCCACCCAGCUAGGCUGCUUCCAGAGUCCCUACCUUCAGAAACUGGUGAGAAAAUACAUGUUUGUUGUUUUAAGCUGCUAAGUUUUGGGAUAUUGUGUUACACAGCAAUAGAUAACUAAUACAAUUUUUGACCCCUCCUCACAGUGAGCACAGUGAGGAAUUUCAAAAGGAUGCUUCUCAUGUUGACCUUCAGUUUAUGAUGAAUGCGAGUUGUGUGCAAAGUGAUCAGGGCUCAGGCAGACAUGAAAAAGACUUUGGGAGCUUACAAUUUCACAGGAGACAGACACACAGACCACCAAUGGUAAUGUGAGGAGGAAUGGAUGAGGCUAAAUGAAGGUAUAUGUAAUGAGCUCUGGGCACUGAGGAAGAAGCACUUAAUGUUGUCGCAGGUUCUAUGGAAGACGUGGCAUUUGGAUUGGUCUUGUAGGAUUGCAUAUUUAGGACUCCUUUUGGUUACAAAUGUAGAAACCCCUCUGUCUUAGAUAAAGUUCCCUAGGAAACAAACUCUGAGAUGAGGAUGUCAUGCAGGGAAUUUACUGGGGACUGUCCUGGGGGAUAGCACCCGUGAGACAGUGAUACAACCAAGAUCAGGCCCAGGGAGGUGUUAAACUGCAGCUUAGUUGCAACAGAGGCCCCUGUCAAUCUCAUGGGGAAAGUGGAUCUGCAACAGCUUUUCAGAAUGAUCUGGAAUUGGGAAAAGCGGUCUGGGCCUGUGUACCCCUGCACUGACCAGUCACCUGAUGUGAGCUGCUUCUGGGGAGGGAACAUGACCUUGGCAGAGAAAGGUUCAUUCAGCUAAGGGCAAUUGCUGGACCAUCAGUAGGCAGCAGUCAUGGCCUCUGACAGAGUGAGUGCCUCAGUCCUAAAGGGGGAUCAGCAUGGGGCACCACAGCAUUCAUUUGACCAGCUCACGCUAACUUAGGCAAUCAUCAUCGUCGUCAUCGUCAUCAUCAUCAU